rnacentral:rRNA from 1 species
CUCGUAGGUGGUUGGUCACGUCUGCUGUGGAAACGCAACGCUUAACGUUGCGCGUGCAGUGGGUACGGGCUGACUAGAGUGCAGUAGGGGAGUCUGGAAUUCCUGGUGUAGCGGUGAAAUGCGUAGAUAUUAGGAGGAACACCAGUGGCGAAGGCGACUUUCUGGACUGUAACUGACGCUGAGGCUCGAAAGCGUGGGGAGCGAACAGGAUUAGAUACCCCCGUA